UUCUUCUUCUUCUUCUUCUACCUUUCAAAUUGAUGCUCGUCUUCCUAAAGAGAUCAGCUGGGGAACCAUAGAGUUUCUUCAAUGGGAAGGCUUCUGGUAUGCAAAACCUCACCUUGCAGCCAUCAUGGCUGCAAGGUCACACUUCAAAGCUCGAGACGAAGAUGUCAUCUUAGCUUCCUCUAUGAAGACAGGGAGCACCUGGCUCAAGGCUAUUAUACCCUGCAUCAUCAACAGUAAGACUUCUGCUGCUGGUGAUGGAAAUGGUGACAAUAUUGAUGAGGAAGAAGACUAUGAUCCUUUUGUCGAACACCACCCCAAUGACCUUAUGCCAGCUUUAGAAACCCAGAUUUUUCGCCAAGAUCCAAAUGCCGAUUUAUCAGGUAUGCCUUCUCCUAGACUUUUGAGAACCCAUAUGCCAUAUUCAAUUCUGCCAGAGUCCAUCAAGAUUGUCUACAUCACUCGAGACCCUAAGGAUGUGUUUGUGUCCUUGUGGCAUUUCUUGAACACAAGGAUUUCAUGCCCUUUAAAUGAAGCAUUUGAGAGCUUUUGCAAUGGAGUACACCCUUUUGGGCCUUUCCAUGACCAUGUUUUAGGGUACUGGAAAGAGAGUCUGAAGAGGCCUGAAAAGAUACUAUUCCUGAAAUAUGAAGAGCUAAAGAGUGACCCAACAGGGCAAGUCAGAAAAUUAGCUUCUUUUCUUGGAAGGCCUCUUGUUCAAGUGGAUGAAGUGGACAAACUGGUCUGGAAGUGCAGCUUUGAGAGGCUGAAAAACUUGGAGAUUAACAGAACUGGGGUAGACCCUCAUCUUGGGUUUACCAAUAAAUCAUAUUUCAGGGUUGGUUUGGUUGGAGAUUGGAAGAACCACUUAUCUGCAGAGAUGAGGAAACAUCUGGACAAAAUUACACAAACGAAGCUGGAGGGGUCCGGGUUAGAAUUGUAAUUCUCUCCUAUAGGAAUGUGACACCCUGCUUAUGCAAUUAAUGAUCGGAUUACUG
rnacentral:misc_RNA from 1 species